GGUCCCUAAGUGUACUUCUGCCUUGAAAGUAGAAGGUGGGCAUAAUAGAUGUCCGGGGGCUU
rnacentral:tRNA from 1 species